UUCGGACAUGAGCUACCAGCAACUCACUUGAGAUUGGAUUCGCAAGGGAAGGAGUUAGCGAACAGUAGUGAAUCGUUGCUAUUGGUUGUGAGCCACUUUCAGUGACAUCUUGUUGCCAAAUUUAGAGUAAGGUAGCAGGUAAAGGAUUUAUGGAGACGCCUGGAG